CUUAAAUCUUGGGACACAAUCUUUACAGACCCACUCAAACUAUUAAAAUCAUCAGCCCUCAUAGAACAACACCGCAAAAUACUGUACCGGUGGUACUUGGUGCCAACCAGGCUACAAAAUGUUUUCCCCUCCACCUCCUCAAAAUGUUGGAGAUGCCAAACGCAGGAGGGCUCGAUGUACCACAUUUGGUGGAGCUGUCCGCGGCUCCUUAACUACUGGACCGAGGUCCAUGACCUGAUCCAAGAUAUUACCCAACACCCUCUCGCAUUUACUCCGCUAUCAUGCCUAGUCCUUGACCUCCCUAGAGGGCUGCCCCAACACGUAAAGAAAAUUAUGUUACACAUUGCCUUAACGGCGCAACAAUUGAUAGCAAGAAGGUGGAAAUCCACGAUUCUCCCCAACAAAGAGACCCUGAUAGAGGAAUUACACAAACAAUGAAUUUAUGAGACAUCGUAUAAAACCUUGUUCCCUCCCUCUGUACUCUACCGGAAAACCUGGGAGCUCUGGCAAACAUGGAGAUCUGGUAAUGCCACGGGCACUGUACCAG